rnacentral:rRNA from 1 species
CCUACGGGAGACAGCAGUGGGGAAUAUUGGGCAAUGGGCGCAAGCCUGACCCAGCAACGCCGCGUGAAGGAAGAAGGCUUUCGGGUUGUAAACUUCUUUUCUCAGGGACGAAGCAAGUGACGGUACCUGAGGAAUAAGCCACGGCUAACUACGUGCCAGCAGCCGCGGUAAUACGUAGGUGGCAAGCGUUAUCCGGAUUUACUGGGUGUAAAGGGCUUGUAGGCGGGACUGCAAGUCAGAUGUGAAAACCACGGGCUCAACCUGUGGCCUGCAUUUGAAACUGGAGUUCUUGAGUACUGGAGAGGCAGACGGAAUGCCUAGGGUAGCGGUGAAAUGCGUAGAUAUUACGAGGAACACCAGUGGCGAAGGCGGUCUGCUAGACAGCAACUGACGCUGAGGCGCAAAAGCGUGGGGAGCAAACAGGAUUAGAUACCCUAGUAGUC